rnacentral:lncRNA from 1 species
CAGCUGUAAGCAACAAGGCUGAAGUCUCUGCUGCUCCACAACCUACCUGCCAGUUUGGUCACAGGUAUCUCCCAAGAUACACAAUCACCUGGAGUGGAAGCUUCAGGACAACAGGGCUGGGAACCUGCGUGUUUCAGAUAAGAUACCUCUUGGAUACCUCUUGAUUCACUCUUCUUCCUGCCACUGUGGUGAGGAUCAUUGAGUCUUUGACCAGCUUUAUGCAGUUGCAUGAAUACCCUUUAUGGAGGUUACCAAAUCCAGCAAAGUCAUCUUCCUACUAGAAAAAGACAGCAUCUCCUCAUCCUGCAUUCACUACAUGGUGGAACAAUGGGUGCUCAUGAGAGAUCGGGGGAAGAAAAGCAAAGAACCUGGUGUUGCCUCUUUGGGUUUUUCUGAGUUGGGAGUUUGGAGGCUGAAACCAAGAGGUCAGCUGGGACUGUGGUCUCAUCUGAGGCUUGACUGGGGGAGGAUUCACUGCCAAG